rnacentral:rRNA from 1 species
AUGAAAAUUUCCAAUUGGAACUGUUGUGGGCUGGGACAACCUCGUACGGUUCAAGAGCUUGUGUGUCUGACUAAGACGCACCGUCGCUAUGUUAUCUUCCUUUCGGAAACUAGGAAAAAUAAAGAGUAAUUGAGCUUUUGCAUUACCGGUGGUAUGAAUUAUGUGUUUACUGUUUCUGGCCAUGGUAAAGGUGGAGGUCUAGCCGUGUUUUGGGAUGAAGCGUACUCCUGUGAGCUGAACAAAUCUGGUGAACAUUUUGUGGAUAUGUACGUCAACAAGGGUGAUGGUACAAAGUGGAGGUGCACCUUUAUUUAUGGAGAGCCUAAGGCGAUCCAGAGGCACGUUAUGUGGGAUCUUUUGAGGCGGAUUAAACCUCCGUGUGUUGAGCCUUGGUUUUUGGUGGGGGAUAGUGAAGCUAUGUGGCAAAAUGAACACUUCUCUCGACAUAAGAGAUCUCCUAGACUCAUGGCAAACUUUCGUGAAGUUCUAUCAGAGUGUAGUUUAUUUGAUUUAGGCUUUCAAGGUGUUCCGUGGACGUAUAAUAAUAAGCAAGAGGGCGACAAGAAUGUUAAGGUACGUCUUGACCGUGCAAUGGCUUGCCCUCUUUGGUCAUCUAUUUUCCCUCAGUGUAAGGUCUCCCAUAUUAUUAGCUCCAGGUCUUAUCAUUGCCCCCAUUUUAAUUGA